CAGUCGCCGCGGGAAAACGUAGGGUGCGAGCGUUAAUCGGAAUUACUGGGCGUAAAGCGUGCGCAGGCGGUUUUGUAAGACAGAGGUGAAAGCCCGGAGCUCAACUCCGGAACUGCCUUUGAGACUGCAUCACUUGAACGUCGGAGAGGUGAGUGGAAUUCCGAGUGUAGAGGUGAAAUUCGUAGAUAUUCGGAAGAACACCAGUGGCGAAGGCGGCGACCUGGUCCUUGACUGACGCUGAGGCGCGAAAGCGUGGGGAGCAAACAGGAUUAGAUACCCCAGUAGUCCAUGUCUCUUAUAA
rnacentral:rRNA from 1 species